rnacentral:tRNA from 1 species
GCGGGGAUAGCUCAGUUGGGAGAGCGUCAGACUGAAGGAAAACUUCGGUUCAGUCUAUCUGAAGGUCGUCGGUUCAAUCCCGACUCACCGCA